rnacentral:lncRNA from 1 species
CAGAACAACUGGUUUGGUGGAGAGACCUGAUAACAGAAAGUUGGGAAAUAGGUAAAAUAAUAACUUGGGGUAGAGGUUAUGCUUAUGUUUCUCCAGGACUGAACCAUCAAGACACCUGAAACCUUAUCAUGAGCGAAUGCUGAGGAAGAGAUUCCGGGAGGAUCCCGAGGACCCCCCCAGUUGCAGCCAUGUCAAGACUGAUGCUGAGGAGGACCCCAACUGUCACGAGCAACACCCGUCAAACACAGCCAUCCACCUGAGGUCAGAUCAAGAAGCUGUCACAGAUGGCAGAAGAAAACCUGAGGAAUGGUCUGGAACACGGACCUGGUGGAGACCCUGGAGCUGCAGAACCUGAUGCUGUGUGCGCUGCAGACCAUCUACGGAGCAGAGGCGCGGAAGGAGUCACGGGGCACGCACGCCAGGGAAGGCUACAAGGUGCAGAUUGAUGAGUACGAUUACUCCAAGCCCAUCCAGGGGCAACAGAAGAAGCCCUUUGAGGAGCACUGGAGGAAGCACACCCUGUCCUAUGUGGACGUUGGCACUGGGAAGUGCACAGCCAGAGAACAACACAUCACACACAGGAAACAGUUGUGCUCAUGUGAUGGGGGCCUCAGCACUAGGAAGGAGUGGACUAUUGGCACACGCAGCAGCUUGAAUAAAUCUGAAAGUCACUAUGCUGUGUAAGAGAAGCCAAAUUUAAAAAGUGCAUGCUGUGUACAGAGGGUGUCAAGAAUGCCUCCUACGUGACGGAAAGCAGAUCCGUGGUUGCCUGCAGACUGGCAGGAGCAGAUUCCAAAGGCACAGGAAGAAGCUUGUGGGUAGAAUGUGUUCAUUACCUUCUGUGCAUUAUACCAUAAAAAAGCUGGUCACAAAAAUGCAAACCAAAAACAAAGGUGAAACUAGGAUAAGAUUUCUCACCUGUGUGAUUGGUAAACGUGCAGAUGUGCCGUCAUGCUUUGUUUAUGAAGCUGUGGGAUACAAGGACUCUCAUACGUCACUGUGGAAUGCAGAAUAUUGCAGCCUCAU